CCCCCCGGAGGACUUAUUAGCCUCUGUGAUGCAAUGCCCAGACAGGGAGUAGGGUGAAGAACCCCCGAGCGGAGAACAGCCUGCCUACCGGAUACCGACAACCUGCUAAACCAAAGGACGAACCGACAAUAAUGGACGCUAGAUUAACGCUAAAUUAAUAUCAGAUGUAGCUCCUAAGUAUCCUAAGCGUUCUCUUUUUUCUAUUUGUGGCAUGUGCCCUGAAGCUAA